UACAGAGGUCUCAAGCGUUGUUCGGAUUCAUUGGGCGUAAAGGGUGCGUAGGUGGCGAUGUAAGUUUGGUGUGAAAUUUCGGGGCUCAACCUCGAAACUGCAUUGAAUACUGCAUUGCUUGAGGAUUGUAGAGGAGAGUGGAAUUCACGGUGUAGCAGUGAAAUGCGUAGAUAUCGUGAGGAAGACCAGUUGCGAAGGCGACUCUCUGGGCAAUUCCUGACACUGAGGCACGAAGGCCAGGGGAGCAAACGGG
rnacentral:rRNA from 1 species